GACGAACGCUGGCGGCGUGCUUAACACAUGCAAGUCGAGCGGUAAGGCCCUUUCGGGGGUACACGAGCGGCGAACGGGUGAGUAACACGUGGGUGACCUGCCUUUAGCUCUGGGAUAAGCCUGGGAAACCGGGUCUAAUACCGGAUAUGACUCCGCGGCGCAUGUUGUGGGGUGGAAAGCCUUGUGCGGCUGGAGAUGGGCCCGCGGCCUAUCAGCUUGUUGGUGGGGUAAUGGCCUACCAAGGCGACGACGGGUAGCCGGCCUGAGAGGGCGACCGGCCACACUGGGACUGAGACACGGCCCAGACUCCUACGGGAGGCAGCAGUGGGGAAUAUUGCACAAUGGGCGAAAGCCUGAUGCAGCGACGCCGCGUGAGGGAUGACGGCCUCGGUU
rnacentral:rRNA from 1 species